rnacentral:rRNA from 1 species
UACGUAGGGGGCAAGCGUUGUCCGGAAUUAUUGGGCGUAAAGCGCGUGUAGGCGGCUUGGUAAGUCCGAUGUGAAACCUCGGGGCUCAACCCCGAGCCUGCAUUGGAUACUGCCUCGCUUGAGUCCGGGAGGGGAGAGCGGAAUUCCUAGUGUAGCGGUGAAAUGCGCAGAUAUUAGGAAGAACACCGGUGGCGAAGGCGGUCUUCUGGACGGUGACUGACGCUGAGGCGCGAAAGCGUGGGGAGCAAACGGG